rnacentral:rRNA from 1 species
ACACAUGCAGUCGGGCGAUGAGGGGAGCUUGCUCCCUGAUUUAGCGGCGGACGGGUGAGUAAUGCGUAGGAAGCUGCCCGAUAGAGGGGGAUACCAGUUGGAAACGACUGUUAAUACCGCAUAAUGUCUACGGACCAAAGUGUGGGACCUUCGGGCCACAUGCUAUCGGAUGCGCCUACGUGGGAUUAGCUAGUUGGUGGGGUAAAGGCUCACCAAGGCGACGAUCCCUAGCUGGUUUGAGAGGAUGAUCAGCCACACUGGAACUGAGACACGGUCCAGACUCCUACGGGAGGCAGCAGUGGGGAAUAUUGGACAAUGGGCGCAAGCCUGAUCCAGCCAUGCCGCGUGUGUGAAGAAGGCCUUCGGGUUGUAAAGCACUUUCAGUGGGGAGGAAGGG